GGCCUGGCCGCGCCCGUGGCCGCCGCCCCCUUGACGCACUUCGGCCAGGCCGCCGUGUUCCCCUUCUCCGCCGGCGCCGCGCUGCCCUGCCCGGACAAGUGCGCCGCCUUCUCCGGGACUCCCUCAGCGCUUUGCAAGCACUGUAACGAGAAGCCGUAAGGGUCCCGGGCCGCCCCCUUCCGCCGCGCGCCCCCCAUUUCCCCUGCCGCCCAGACUGUGUCACCCCGCCCCUACCGGAUCCCGCCCGGGGGAGAAGGCGGCCCGACCUCGCUCCAGCCCUUGCGCCACGAACAGUCGGGCUCGCGGGAAAAGCAAAGCCCAUCCGGGCGCUGGAUUGAACGGGAGAGCUGGCCUCUGGAAUCUAGCCGCGGAGCCCGCAGCGCCCACCCGGCACCCUCCCGCCUCCCCCAGCCAUCGACCUUGAGGACGGCAUGGGGGUGACCAACCGUGCUCUCCUCUGGGCACCGCCGCUCACCCUCAGAAAGAAAACCAGGGCGGCAGUGGGAGCGGGGACCGGCACACCCUGGCACGGAUGUGCCUCCCCAGAGCCGCCCAGGGACUCGCGAAGCCCAGGGACAGAGCGGAGCCCUGCUUGGCGAGUUGUGGCCCCCUUGUUGGGCCUCUGGCGACGGCUGCUCUGCCAAACCCCAAGGUAGCCGUCUGCUUGGCCGUGUUCCUGGGGUCGCGCCUCAGCGCCUCACUCGGUUUCUCCCGCCUCUGCCCGCUCCACGGCCCCAGCGCCGCAGCAGCGCAGCUCCUGGAUGCGCCCAGACCUGGCGCCGCAACUGUCGUUUGCAAAGGAGCUGGACCUUGGAGACAAGACCCUGGGCCGGUAGCUUUUCGGCUUUCCCAAGUCUGUUACGUUUAUUUUCCUGCCUGCCCGGAGGUGUCUGCCUCUGGGGAGGGGGUGGGCUUGGAGCAGAUGCUACCGCCCGGUGCCUCCAAGUCUGCAUAGUGUGUCCCCUCAACAGCCCCGGGAUCCCCAGCCACUGCUGCCCCCACCGGGCGUUCCUGCCGCGGCACCAGCGGGGCUGGUGGAGCUGGAUGCAGACCAGUGCGUGCCCUCUGCUUAAAGGCGGCUGCCCGGAGGAGAGGUCCUGGGGUGUCAGGGGACGGCUUGGUCUGGCCCCGGUGACCGCCCGAGCCUCCUCCCCACCAACCCCGCGUGUUUCCGGGACAGGAGACCAGGCCAAGCGUGUUCUGCCCUCAGCGUCUGCCUCAAUUCAGAACAGCCCUGUUUCAAGUGCUGAGUGGGGCUUGUGGCCAUCACGGUCACGGCAAAGGAACAGCACGGUGACAGCGGGUCCUCCGCGCUCCCACCGAGGGGUGGUCUGGAGCCAACAGAGCCUCUUCUUCUACUGACCCCGCCAAUGAGGGGCUCGGCCGCGCUGGCUGCACGUUGCUUGAGCAACUCACAGACCAAGACUCCUUCAUGCUCAGGUUACGAGCCGCGAGGCCUGGGGGCUCCGUCGCGGGCUCCGUGGGCCAGAAGAGGCAAGCUGCCCCGCCGGGGUCCUGCUCCCGCUUUUGUCCAGUGGCCGGCGUGGCCGGCGUGGCCCCGGUGCUUCUGGCUUUUGGCGGCGCCCGCCAUUCUUUAUGUCCACAGAGCUUUCUCUUCCUCCUGAGGAGACCCACGCGUCUAAAACGGCACCCUGGUCCCCGGCGACAGGUAAGGGCAUCUAGCCUCCGAGGCAGAGCCCUGCCCGCGCCUGGCUCUGCCCCCAGGGCCCGGGAGGACGGCCACGCCAUGGCUGCCCAGCCCACGCGGGGUCAUGACAGACCCUCCCGGCCCAGGCACGUGGCUUCUGCCGCUGCUUUUUGGUGAUUUCGUCCCAAAGAUGGGGUUUCCUGUUCACUCACACAGAUGUCCCAGGGUCCUGAGGGAGCCUUCUCGACCUUACGAGCGAGUGCAGACGCUUGCUUUGCCAAAUUCGCCUGUCUGUUGCCUUGCAGGUUGGGGACGCUCUAAGAAGAGGCCCUGCCUCGUGGGGACAGACGCUGCUCUCCUAAAGCAAUGGGGAAACGCACCGGCCACCACUCCAGCUGGCACAGCAGGCCUUGCGCCUCCCUCAGCCGUCUGAGAAAACUCCCACCGAAGCCUCGGAGCAGAGGCUCCUGGGCCCUGGUUAAUCCAGCAGAGUGAUUACAGCAAUUUUAUCAUGCGAAUUCGCUUGUGAUAUGUUUUAGUCUUUAAUCGCUUUUGGCGUCCCAUUGAAAGGGAUAGAAACAGAGGGAUUUACAACGUAUUAAAUCAUUUCUCUAACAAUUACCUCUCCAGGUUCAUAACUCUGGACGUAAUAUUCCAGCUCCCCAACCGAAGUCCGUUCCGGAAAAUUAGGAAGUGCAUACACAUGUGCAGAUUUAACUCCAAAGGAACAAAGCCCACGUGACCAUAGCUGCAGAAAGACGGAAAUAAUUAGCGAAGUUACCUUCGAUCCAGCAUCGCCCCGGUUUUAAAAAGGGCUGUGUGUUUCCCUGUCUGAAAGUGCCUGAGGCUCAUGUAUUCCCGUGAGGGUGUAAAAGCUUUUUUUGUGGCUCCCUGUGCGGGAAGACGGCCGGAAUUACCGUGAGGUUAAGGUGAGGGUAGCCUUGUGAAAUGCACGCAUGCCAGGGUCCCUGAAUGGACCGCCAUUUCUCUUCCGUGGUCGGCCCUGGGGAGCCACCCGGCUGUUGCCUGGUCCGGACACAAAGACAAGCUGCCUGUGGCUCCAGGCAUCUGUUUCCUGGGGACGCAGCCCUCCGAAUGCAGCACAGAGCCCAGCCUGGGCCUGGCCAAUGGCCUCUGUCCCCCACGACCCUCGAGGCCUCCUGGGUGCCAGCCAGCACGGGGGAGCCACCGGGGCUGCGCGGUCCUAGCUCGAGUCUGCGCAGGGAGAGCUCGCCUGCCCGCUGAAAACGGCCCGGGCUCCCCGCCAGCCUGCCUUCGCCUCCAAGCUCCGUUUUGUCUCCGCGAUGAGUCCACAGUCAGUUGCUCUCCUGGGGGCCCUGAUUGGGCCUGACGGGAGCCCCGUUUCCGGGUUCCACGUGGCCAGCCCUGGCUGCCCUAAUGAGGCCCAGGCCAGCCGGGGAACCUGCCUUCAAACCCAAGACGCAGUCGGCCCCGUGAGGCUCUCCGAUGGCCACAAAGCAACUGACAGGAGGUGUUUUUGUCGCUUGCCUCACUCUGCAGCCGGCUGGCUCGCGGCACCAGAUCUGUGUCCGCGGCCCUCCCAGCUCUGCCCUGCCUUUGAGGAUUAAAGUCCCGCACCUCCUGCACGCAGACGGAGCCGGCAGACACCAGGGCUCGUGAGUCAGGGUCUCGCAGUCGGGCCCAGCCUGCAUCUGCCCAGGGAUCCGACGGGAAUCAGCCAGCUGGAGAGGGCUCACGCGACCGGGCCCACGUCACCACCAAGCAGGCAGGAGCCAGGUCCCUCCACCAAAGGAUGGAAGGUUUGCGCAGAGCAGCCUGGACGCCGCCCACGGGCCGCAAGCUGGUCAGGAGCCAGCUGACCCCUGCGGCGCGGACACGCCUGCGGGUUUUAGCAAGAGGAUUCGGAAACCCCACUGUCCGUGGGUCGCGUCCGGACUGCGGGUCGGAGGGGCUGCGUCUCAGCAUCUGGACAUGAAGACCCUCUUCCCUCCGGCACCUCCCUGACCAGCGAUGCCAGCGAUGCCAGCGUCCCCCCGUCCUCCCCCCACUGAGGAUCCUGGGAAGGCAGAGUCUUCCCUUCAGACAGCAGACACACGCACGCGCGCACACAGGAGGGUGUUUAUUUUAUAUUCAGGAGUCUGGAUUUCCACGAGAAAUGAAAGCCUUUCACCUGCUGCCAGGACUUGACAGUGACUGCCCUUCGUCUGCCCUUCGGCGUCUCCUCCGGGCUGUGGGGUCAGCAGGAGGCUCUCUGUCAGCUCCACCGCCACCUUCGGGACUGGGGCUGCCGGAUGGCGUGGAGAACGCCAUCCGGGAACAGAGGACGCCGCCGCCAGGCCGCGGCUCACACAUCCGGCUCACUCUUCCUCUCAGUGGACAACAAGCUGGAGCAGCUGUUUCCUCUGCCUGAGUGUCGUCUGCACUCGCACACGUGUGCACGCAUGUGUGUGUGCACGCAUCCUGCAUGUGUGUGUGUGCGUGCAUGAGAGCGUGUAGUCGAAAGUCACGCGGUAAACAGUCCCAUCCCCUGCCAAGGCCACAUCGCGCCUGCGGGGACGGGGGUUGCACUGCCAGCGGCUAUCCUGGACGGUGGGGGAGGCGCUGGGCGCAGCAGUCGCAGGGCCUGAGAGGAGGGGUCUCUAGCUGGUUUCAGGGGACAGUCUCAGUGUGGCCACAGUCAGGAGUGACUCUGCAGAGAGGCGUCAAGAACCACACGGAGGGGGCAUCCCUCGGGCUGCCGUCCCUUCCAGGUCGCCCAGCCUGGCCUCAGCGCUGGGCCCUCCCCACUUAACCCGUGGCCCACCCGGUUUCCGCAGAGCGGAGGGAGGCCUGCCCGCAGGACAGAGGUCUCUGGGAGCCGGGGGAGCAUGUCGAGGGGCCGCUAACUGAGAUGCGGGAACAGGGAGUGGACGGCAGGCGACGGGCGGGGCCCCAGCCAGCGUGUUGUCGGGCGAUCUCGCCCGUUUUCCGUCUAAGAAGGCUGCUCGAAGCAGUGGUCUCGAGGGGCCAGUGGCCUCAACGCGGGUGAAAGUGCCGCGCCCGCUCCGCGUCCUGCAGGG
rnacentral:lncRNA from 9 species